rnacentral:rRNA from 1 species
GAUGAACGCUGGCGGCGUGCCUAAUACAUGCAAGUCGAGCGAACAGAUAAGGAGCUUGCUCCUUUGACGUUAGCGGCGGACGGGUGAGUAACACGUGGGUAACCUACCUAUAAGACUGGAAUAACUCCGGGAAACCGGGGCUAAUGCCGGAUAACAUUUAGAACCGCAUGGUUCUAAAGUGAAAGAUGGUUUUGCUAUCACUUAUAGAUGGACCCGCGCCGUAUUAGCUAGCUGGUAAGGUAACGGCUUACCAAGGCAACGAUACGUAGCCGACCUGAGAGGGUGAGCGGCCACACUGGAACUGAGACACGGUCCAGACUCCUACGGGAGGCAGCAGUAGGGAAUCUUCCGCAAUGGGCGAAAGCCUGACGGAACAACGCCGCGUGAGUGAUGAAGGUCUUCGGAUCGUAAAACUCUGUUAUUAGGGAAGAACAAAUGUGUAAGUAACUGUGCACGUCUUGACGGUACCUAAUCAGAAAGCCACGGCUAACUACGUG